CUUACUUGGAAAUGAGAUGUAUUUUGGAGAGCCAGAUUAUGGUAGCCCUAGGUAUAGUCAGCUUUUUAUUUAUAUGAUAAAUGAUUUGACAAGUUGCUUUUAAAAAAAAAAAGUCAAUACGUGAACCUUAGAACUUUUUUUUUGCUAAUUAUUUUAACUGAAUUGUAAAUUAAAUCUCAGUAUUUUCAUUACCAUGUGUGUGGAGGCUAACAUUUUCUUUUUAUUGUAAAUCAGGAUAAUUAUGGCAUGUCGAGAGUGGUGUUAAAUAUAAAGAAGGGAGAUAAGGGAUGUGUUUAUUUCAUUAGUUCGUUUCUGGAUGGUGUUAGCUUUCAUUUUUACCAGUUUGAAUAGUCAAACUACUACCAAUGGAUGACACUUCUAUGGUGUUUAUUGGUAGAGGUAAUAUUACACCUUGAUUCCCUUCAACACAGAGUAUUGGCUCACACCGAACAGCAAGCUAUUAAGGGUCCAACCAUUCAAACAGGAAAACCAAGGGUCUAAUCUAUAUAAAAAACGAGAAACAUGUAUGGAUUUUAGUUUCUUGUGUACAAUUUGGAAAUUAGUAUGGCGUUCAUUAUCACUGGACUAGUAUAUAUUUUUUUAGGGGCCAGCUGAAGGACGCCUCCGGGUGCGGGAAUUUCUCGCUACAUUGAAGACCUGUUGGUGACCCUCUGCUGUUGUUUUUUAUUUGGUCGGGUUGUUGUCUCUUUGACACAUUCCCCAUUUCCAUUCUCAAUUUUAUGGAUGACAACCACUUUACAUCAGAUUCCUGAUUUAGGACAGGUGCUAUCAUUUGCAGCAGGGUUAAACAUUUUAAUGGUGCCAAACCUUCUCCCUUUUCUGAAACAAUAGUACAACAUCACAACAUAGAAAGACACACUAUAAAAUAUCAAUUGGAAGGCUUUACUCAAUAAAAAAAACACAAAUUAACACACAAUGAAUACUUAAUAUCCUGUCAUAUCAGGAGCCUGUUUUUCUGUUUGAUUAUUAUCAUGUGACAUGUCUAUUUUUUGUGUUUUUUUUUAAAUGUUUUCUUUGCAUUUGAACCUAUCUCACAUAUUUAUUAAUAAGACAGACAGAUGCAAAAAUUAUUGUAUAUUAGAUCAUGUAAUCUCUCAAUGGGUCUUGUUGGAGAAUUACACUUAUUGAUGAUCAGUCGUAAGGAACAUCAAUUAAUGUCUCCUACUGGUUGACCAUUUCACAAUGCCUCAUUUAUUAUUUCUAGAUUAAUUUAAAGAAUUUUUGAAAGACUGAGGUACAUGUGUCCAUGUUUUGAAUCUUUAUUAUUCUUUAAGAAUUAUACGUAUGGGAAUCUAUUUUUUUUCUAUAUAGAUUAUCAACUAUAUCAUUCAUUACCAUAUACAUGAUGUAGCAGAUAUAAAGUGAUCUGUAUAAAUUUCUUUAUUGCCAAUUUUUAAGGUGCUCUUAAUUACAGGAAGCUAAUACAGAUAAGAAGAAUAAAUGUUCCGAACGAACAAUAAUUAAGGUUUCGAAUAUUCCUCCAUAGACUAUAUUUCUAACUUAUAAAUAUGCUUGAACCUUAGGGGUUCACACAAAAAAUCUUAUUAUUAUCACACCCCAUGCUACAUAGGUUUUAACCAUUUAGUCAGUCAUUUUUCUUUCCUUUGUGCAGACUCCAAAUCUUUAAUUGGUUUUCAAUAUUAAACAGAUAAAACUAUGCCAUAAGCUAUUGAUCUUAAAUUCUAAUUCAUAAACUCAAACGAACAUAAAAUAUUUAUCAAAUAACCACAAACUCUUACAUGGGAGACGCCACUUGCAGAGACAAGCGCACAUUUUAUUAUAAAUAUGAGUAUAAUAUUGUUGAAAGUUCAUAUAUAUACAAUGUAUAUAUAUAUAGCUAUUAAGCCGCUUGUACUGGUUUCCCCAUACUUGUGGUCCACAAAUCUGAAAAUAAAUAAUAUGAUUAAUAAUAUUAUUUAAUUUGCAAAAUGCUACCACAUGUACACUUUGACUGCAAUGGCUCGAAUGACUUUAAACCACCUGAGUUCACUCGUGCAUGAACUCAAUAUUCCAAUUGAACCGACCUUACUAUAAUUAACCAAACACAUGUUAACUAUAAACAAACAACAUUUUACAUGUUCCAUUUUGUACAACUUUGAUAAAUACAUUUUAUAUGUAAGAUUGCUAUAUUAAGAUUCUAUCAGUUAGACCUAAACCAGAGAAGUUGUUUUUUUGAUAUAUCUGUGAGCUAGCAUGUUUAUUCAGAAAAGGAAAGAUGACUUAUCACAAGAUACUUAAGGGCAUACGAUACAGUUACAGGGGAGGUAAUGACGUUGCUAACGUAAAAUGUUAUUUUCGCGACGUCAAACUGUGACAUAUCGGGAAAAGAUGUAUUUUUCGACUGAUUUUUAUCAUUCAAACUGAUUUAAUUUGAAAACGAGUUCAUGGACCCCUAUUUUUCAAAACAGCAAUUUGUUUCAUUUUGCAGGGAGAUUAUGUGACCCAAAUUUUAUAAAACUGUAAAUAGAGGAUUUUUUAAAAUUUUGAUAAACAUGCAGCAAAAAAUGACGUAUUUUCUUCAAUUCAUGAACAUUUGAUAAAUAUGAGUUAUUUCUGAAUAAAAAAUGCACAAUGUUUUAGAAUACUUAUCAAAUACAGAUAUUACCGAUUAUUUAACAAAAAACAAUUUGUGUUUAUCUUUUAUAACAAAAAAGUUAUGUCUUUCUUUCGAAAAUGAAAUUACGGCCACAAAUCUGAAUUUUGAGCAAAUAUACAAAAUUUCGACCUCAUUUUACUCAAAAAGUAGCACAUGAAGGUAUAUUUUUUAUUACAUAUUUGAUUUAAUCAGGUAUAAAAUAGCCUAUAUCCAAAUUUUCACGAACUUGUAAAUACAGGAUCAAAACUGUAUCGUAUGCCCUUAAAUAAGGGAUAUUCAAGUUUUUAAUCACUAUGAACUGAAAAAAGUUAUUGAAAAGACAAGACAUUUUUUAAAAGCUAAAGGUGGUUGUUUUCAUGAAGUUUAGACCAGUAUUCAAUGGGAGAUAACUCUAAUCACAUUGAGGUUAUUGAUUUUUAUGAUAAACAUUGAUCAUUGUUUUAUCCAAAGUCAGCUGACUUGAAUUUUCAUGAUUUGGUUUUGCAUAAAACUAUAAAUUAUCAAUUAUAAAACAUUUAAAACUAGUUAGAAUUAUUUUUGAUCAUAAUUAUUUAGGUAUUUAAGAUAUUUAUUUCAAUGAGCUAAUUUAUGUGUAGACCUUCUCUUAAUCUUGUUUCUUCAUACAAAAUUCUAAUAAAUAUUUUUUCUUUUCAGCAUUUCUAUAAAGUGAUAACAUAACUUAAAGAAAUUCAAAACUUUUCCUAUAUAACAUUAACCAUAGCCAUGCUUACGUCAAUUAAAGAUAACUUUUUCAUUUUUUUUAUAACUGGUUAUGAUGUUGGAUGCCAUUUUUUUAAACGAAACAUUGGAAUAGCAUGGAUCCCUCCCUAUAAGCACACUAACUUCUUAGUGUAUCCUACGUCAUAGACCAUAUAUUACAAUGUAAUAUAUUUUACUAACUUGUGAAGAAAAUAUUGAUUGAAAAUAAUUUAACUCAUCUCUACUCUGUAUAUACUAUAUAUUGCAUAAAGACUGCACCUGUACUGAAGACAAACACUGCACUUGCACUUGGACUGAAGACCAAAACACUGCACUUGGACUGAAGACAAAAACACUGCACUUGGACUGAAGACCAAAACACUGCACUUGGACUGAAGACCAAAACACUGCACAUGGACUGAAGACCAAAACACUGCACUUGGACUGAAGACCAAAACACUGCACUUGGACUGAAGACCAAAACACUGCACGUGGACUGAAGACACUACACCUGGACAAAAUAUCCAAGUUGAAUGGGACUAGGGACCACUGGAA
rnacentral:lncRNA from 1 species